rnacentral:lncRNA from 1 species
GGAGGCGGGGCGCUCCCCCCCUCGCCGGCCGUGAUUGGGCGGUGAGGAUGCGAAUUCGAAUCGGGGCAGUUGGCGGGUCGAGCGCCUGGCCGGCACGGCGGCUGCGGCGCAUGCGUACGGAGCGACACCCCCCCCCGGUGUGGGGGCGUUGCCAUGGCAACCGCCGGCCGUUCCCCUCAGGGCCGCCGCCAUGUUGCCGUGUCAGGGCCCAGCGCGGCGGUGGGAGCCGGUGGCCAGGGCUUCGCGGCGGUCUAGGCUCCACCGUGGGUUCUCAUUCCCACCGUCGCACCAGGUGCCAGCCUUCCAACGAUAUAGGCAGAGGGACUGAGAGCACCAUCAGCAGCUGUUUCUGCCAACUAAAAAUAAGUUGAACGAGCAAACAAAACAUGAAUAAUCAGCUCCCCAUGGAGACCUAAAUACCAGCAGGAGAUGGAUGCUCCUUGAGUCAUAGGUGAUCCACGGCACAGAGUCCCCUCAGGUAGAUCCCAUUCCUUCCAGCAGCAGAGGAAGGCGGGGAAGGUUAUGUUUGAGGAAUUAAUGCCAAAACUGAGGUGGGCACUGGGAGAUGGGAGUUGAGAUUUUCAGCUUUGGCCUGGUUUGUCCUCUCUGGAAUCAGACAGCAGAACAUCCAGGUGGUUUUAUCACUGACAGACAAAGCGUAUCAGAGGCUGACCGGUGUGCAUGGUGGGGCUCACGUUGCCAGAGCAUGGCCAUCUGGCAAGAUCUUCGAAAGCCUGUGGUGUCUGCAGCCCCUGCCCAGAGCUGGCAGAUGGGACAAGAGUGGGACCUGCGCCCUCUCCAACGGGCAGUUGAACACCAGGUUGGAUACACCGUCCUUCACGUGUCUGCGUCUCCUUGGAAAGGCAUCACUCAAUGAAGAGUCAGUCCCUACAGCAACAUCACAGCUAUAGUGCCUUCAGGAUCUAGCAUUGCUGCAGGCUCUGAUCUGGUGCCAUUUCGAAUACAAGGAUGCCUGAGGCUCAGAAAAAAAGAGUGCAGCAGGGAGUCAUUUUGCUACGAUUUUUACACAGUGUGUGAUUAUUCAGCCAAUAAACAUGAUAGCUUUGUAUUAUAACGUGUGAAG